rnacentral:rRNA from 1 species
AUUGAACGCUGGCGGCAGGCCUAACACAUGCAAGUCGAACGAGUGGCGGACGGGUGAGUAAUGUCUGGGCAACUGGCUUAUGGAGGGGGAUAACUACGGGAAACUGUAGCUAAUACCGCUUACCAUCCGAUGGGCCCAAGUGGGAUUAGGUAGUUGGUGGGGUAAAGGCUCACCAAGGCGACGAUCCCUAGCUGGUCUGAGAGGAUGACCAGCCACACUGGGACUGAGACACGGCCCAGACUCCUACGGGAGGCAGCAGUGGGGAAUAUUGCGCAAUGGGCGAAAGCCUGAUGCAGCAAUGCCGCGUGAAUGAAGAAGGCCUUCGGGUUGUAAAGUUCUUUCGGUGGCGAGGCGUUAACUGCAGAAGAAGCACCGGCUAACUCCGUGCCAGCAGCCGCGGUAAUUC